AUGACACUCUGCAGCGCCACCAGCGCUGUUUUCUCUCCUAAGUCAGUCAUUCAACCGCGCAAGCAGGUCGCCCUCUGCGCGCUACAACCUGCGGGGCGGGGAGCCUCGGCGCUCACCCCUGGAACUCCGCUGGUGCUGACGUACCUUCAGGCCCUUAAAUGUGUCUGUCCCUGCGCAGGAAGGAACAGACUUGGUAGCAGUCACUUUGCCCGAAGGGAAUCGCUUCUCAGUUCUUGCAGCCUCAGCUCCGUUUCCCCUCGCUCUUCCUGGAUCUGCGUUUAUCUCUGUCCUUUUUGCACUGAGUCCCCGCCAACCUCUCCAGCGGGAGGAGCAUUUGGCAGUUUGCACCCUAGGAGAGAACCAACUGGGCUUUUCAUGCCCUGUGCUUUUCCGGUGGACUCGAAGACCAGAGAGAUUAAGAGUCGAGAGAAGCGUUUGGCACGAGCACUCUGCGGGACCCAAGCUCCCGGCUGCUCGCGAUCCGUGUGUCCGCUGCUGCGGGAGGAGCAGAAGGAGCGGAGGGGAGGAAGCCAGCGGAUGCUUGCUGGAGCCUGGAGGUAGGCAAGGGGGUGGGAUCCUGAUUGCAGCGCUCAGCCCAGAUUCCAAAAGGGUGUCUGGUUUCAUAGAGCUGAGGUAUUCUCCCCCCUUCAUUUCCUAUCGCACCCUCCCCUUUUUGGAUUCAGGCUCAAGAACAACCAGAUUCACAGCCCUCAAGGUGGACUGCCAUCAGCCACUCAUUGCCUAAAUGGCUUGCUCUCUUCAUUUGAUUGUGUAGCUUCUCCAGGAAGUUGAUAGCUUGCAGAUUUAGAGAUGGUCCAACUUGAUUUUAUUCGGUUUCUUAAAGGGUGUGUUUCCUG
ensembl:lncRNA